rnacentral:rRNA from 1 species
GACGAACGCUGGCGGUGUGCUUAACACAUGCAAGUGGAGCGACGAACCAGGGCUUGCCCUGGGGCAGAGCCGCGAACGGGUGAGUAACACGUGGGUAACGUACCCCGAUGACUGGGACAACCCGAGGAAACUCGGGCUAAUACCGGAUAUGUCCGACUUUCACGAGGAAGUCGAGCAAAGGAAGCUUCGGCCUCCGCAUCGGGAGCGGCCCGCGGCCCAUUAGCUAGUUGGUGGGGUAAUGGCCUACCAAGGCUGCGAUGGUAGCUGGUCUGAGAGGACGAUCAGCCACACUGGGACUGAGACACGGCCCAGACUCCUACGGCAGGCAGCAGUGGGGAAUCUUGCGCAAUGCGCGAAAGCGUGACGCAGCAACACCGCGUGAGGGAAGACGGCCU